GAAGAUCAAAGCAGUGGAAGCCACACAAUGCAGAGAACCAACAGUGGAGCUAUGCCUAGUGAGAAGCAAAGAGACGCUGGAUGGCCUGAGAAAGGGAGAGAGAAUGAGAAAAGUUGUCAGCUUUUAGUUCCUGGUUCCAGUCCUUCAUGAGGGCCAGCUUGAUUCCAGAGAAAAGGUCAUUUGGAAAAUAUAGCCAUUUUUGGAAGACUGAGCAGCCAAGGUUCUUACGUAUAGGAGACUGGGACCAAAAAAAAAAGGUGUAUAACAGUUCACAACUUCAUCUACAGCCUCAAGCCAAGAACUAUGAAAAAGAUAACAGGCCUCUGAUGACCGGCCCCUACUAACAGUGUAAGGCUAUCUGUGAACUC